rnacentral:sRNA from 1 species
GUAUACACUAUGUCUUUAAUUGGGACUAUUUAAUCAGAUUGUCAAUUUAAGUGAGGUACAUGUUAUGUCUUUGAUUGGGACUAUUUAAUCAGAUUGUCAAUUUAAGUGAGGUACAUGUUAUGUCUUUGAUUGGGACUAUUUAAUCAGAUUGUCAAUUUAAGUGAGGUAUGUUAUUGAAUUCCGUAGACAGAAAUAAGGCCAACAACUCCAAAGAUUAAGGCUUUAGACAUAAUGCAAAACAAAUCCUAAUGACACGGAUAUAAUCAUAUGAUACAGAGUCAUACACAAAAGAUUUAUUUGAUUUAAAAAAAAACAACAGCACUAGACAAGAUCAAGAAAACAUCAAUUUAAUAGUGGACAUUUGACAUCAGUCUCCUUUUCAACCUUAAAAUACAAUAGAUUUCACAUAACAAACAGGUUUCAUUUAUUUUUCCUUUGAACAUUAAUAUUUUCAGCUUUUUUUUUUUUUUACUUUCAAAUAUAUAUAAAUUUAACCAAAAACAAUAAAAAUAAACACCAGAGCAGUUAAUAUAAUAUGUAUAUAUGGAUUAACUGUUUUAAUAUUUUUUAUUCUGGUAGUUUGAAGAAACAAUUAAAAGAAAUGCUUUUGUUGAUAUAUUACUAAUUUAUGCUACGAAUAGUAUAUAUUGUGCUCUGGAGAUGUGUUCGGUAAAACUGAUAUUUUUUGUCAUCCACUUCGUUUUCCAGCUCAUGCAGAGACUUGUUCACCUAUUUUGAUAAUAUUGAUUUGCCUGAAAAUCAGAGGCAUCCUGUUGGUCUUCAGCUGCCUCGUAGCCCUCGUUGGAACCAAAGCCAUAGUUGUCGUUAAAGUCUCUUGAUGAUGGCGCGUCUUUAUUUCUGAUUUUAGUUCUGUGUGAGUUCUUUGC